UACGUAGGGUGCGAGCGUUAAUCGGAAUUACUGGGCGUAAAGCGUGCGCAGGCGGUUAUGUAAGACCGGUGUGAAAUCCCCGGGCUUAACCUGGGAACUGCAUUUGUGACUGCAUAGCUGGAGUACGGUAGAGGGGGAUGGAAUUCCGCGUGUAGCAGUGAAAUGCGUAGAUAUGCGGAGGAACACCGAUGGCGAAGGCAAUCCCCUGGACCUGUACUGACGCUCAUGCACGAAAGCGUGGGGAGCAAACAGG
rnacentral:rRNA from 1 species